ACUCAAAUGAAUAGACGGGGGCUUGCACAAGCGGUGGAGCGUGUGGCUUAAUUCGUCGCUAAACGAAGAACCUUACCAGGUCUAGAAAUCCUACUGCACGCCUCGGGAAACCGAGGAAGCCUUCGAGGGUGUAGGACAGGUGAUGCAUGGCUGUCGUCAGUUCGUGGUUUGAACCGUUCCCUUCAGUGGGGUAACGAACGCAACCCUCGUUGCCAGUUACAAGUGUCUGGCGAGACUGCCCCCUCACGGGGGAGGAAGGUGAGGAUGACGCCAAGUCAGCAUGUCCCUCUGAUGACCUGGGCUGCACACGCGCUACAAUCGCCGUUACAAAGGGACGCAAUAUGGCAACAUGGAGCAAAUCCCAAAAAGCGGCGCCAGUUCGGAUUGAGGUCUGCAACCCGACCUCAUGAAGCCGGAAUCGCUAGUAAUCGUGGGUCAGCUAUACCACGGUGAAUACGUUCUCAAGCCUUGUACACACCGCCCGU
rnacentral:rRNA from 1 species